AACGAACGCUGGCGGCAUGCCUAACACAUGCAAGUCGAACGAGACCUUCGGGUACAGUUGCGCACUGGUGCGUCAGGCGUGGGAAUCUUCCCUUGGGUUCGGAAUAACAGUUGGCAACGACUGCCAUUACCGGAUGAUUACGUAUGUCCCAAGAUUUAUCGCCCAGGGAUUAGCCCGCGUGGGAUUUGCUAGUUGGUGAGGUAAAGGCCUACCAAGGCGACGAUCCUUAGCUGGUCUGAGAGGAUGGUCCGCCACACUGGGGGUGAGACACGGCCGAGACUCCUAGGAAAGGCAGAAGUGGGGAAUGAUGGACAAUGGGCGAAAGACUGAGGCAGCAAGGCCGCAUAAGUGAUGUAGGCGUUAGGGUAGUAGAGCUCUUUUAACCGGGAAGAUAAUGACGGUACCGAGAGAAAAAGCCACGGCUAACUCCGUG
rnacentral:rRNA from 1 species